rnacentral:rRNA from 1 species
GAUGAACGCUGGCGGCGUGCCUAAUACAUGCAAGUCGAGCGAACGGACGAGAAGCUUGCUUCUCUGAUGUUAGCGGCGGACGGGUGAGUAACACGUGGAUAACCUACCUAUAAGACUGGGAUAACUUCGGGAAACCGUAGCUAAUACCGGAUAAUAUUUUGAACCGCAUGGUUCAAAAGUGAAAGACGGUCUUGCUGUCACUUAUAGAUGGAUCCGCGCUGCAUUAGCUAGUUGGUGAGGUACAGGCUUACCAAGGCAACGAUGCAUAGCCGACCUGCGAGGGUGAUUGGCCACACUGGAACUGAGACACGGUCCAGACUCCUACGGGAGGCAGCAGUAGGGAAUCUGGCGCAAUGGGCGGAAGCCUGACGGAGCAACGCCGCGUGAGUGAGGAAGGUCUUCGGAUCGUAAAACUCUGUUAUUAGGGAGGAACAUAUGUGUAAGUAACUGUGCACAUCUUGACGGUACCUAAGCAGAAAGCCACGGCUAACUACGUG